rnacentral:misc_RNA from 1 species
CAACAGCUGAAAGGAGGUGAUCCAGUGUCUAUAGAGGUAUUGGAGAAAGUGGUCGGAACAGUUCGAGGGGCGAAAACCUAGGGCAAUCCUUGGGUGCACAUCACUCGAAUUGGCAUGCCUAACCGGCCCCUGCCUCCUACUCUUUAAAGGGUCGCUCACAUCGGGCGGCCCU